AUUGAACGCUGGCGGCAGGCCUAACACAUGCAAGUCGAGCGGAUGAAGGGAGCUUGCUCCUGGAUUCAGCGGCGGACGGGUGAGUAAUGCCUAGGAAUCUGCCUGGUAGUGGGGGAUAACGUCCGGAAACGGGCGCUAAUACCGCAUACGUCCUGAGGGAGCAAGUGGGGGAUCUUCGGACCUCACGCUAUCAGAUGAGCCUAGGUCGGAUUAGCUAGUUGGUGGGGUAAAGGCCUACCAAGGCGACGAUCCGUAACUGGUCUGAGAGGAUGAUCAGUCACACUGGAACGGAGACACGGUCCAGACUCCUACGGGAGGCAGCAGUGGGGAAUAUUGGACAAUGGGCGAAAGCCUGAUCCAGCCAUGCCGCGUGUGUGAAGAAGGUGUUCGGAUUGUAAAGCACUUUAAGUUGGGAGGAAGGGCAGUAAGUUAAUACCUUGCUGUUUUGACGUUACCAACAGAAUAAGCACCGGCUAACUUCGUG
rnacentral:rRNA from 1 species